GACGGACAGAACGAGCAGAGCUCCUCCUUCGUGCGCGCGAGCUCUCUUCUUCUUCAAAGGGCAGUGGGAAGUGCACAGUCAUGUCAGCAUGCAUUAGACUCACAUUCAGUGUGUGUGUUGGGCAAUAGUGCCGUAGAUUGUGAGGUCACAGCCUCAGGGACUGGAGGUGCUGAGGUCAGAGCACAGGAAGUGCUUUCUGCUGCCGUCACUACAGCAGGAAAUAAAAGGACCAUGUUAUCCCCAUGGAAUUAUAGGUACAUUCUUGGAUGCGAAUGUGAAUUGUAUGGUUGAGGUACGUGAAGGAACCGGAGGUGGAGCUCAGAAGAAUUCCAUCUGAAAGUGUCUCAUUGUCCACAUGUGCAAACAAGAACCUCUGGACUCCCUGCCGCACAACUGCUGUCAUAUAGAGGUGAAUCUCAGGAUCAGGUCCAGGUCACAUUUCACCUCAAAAUCAAAAGGAAAGAAAUAAAGACUAAUUUUAUGAA